AGUGAACGCUGGCGGCGUGCUUAACACAUGCAAGUCGAACGAGAACGGAAUAUAGCUUGCUAUAUUUGUCAGCUAAGUGGCGCACGGGUGAGUAAUGUAUAGAUAACCUGCCCUUAAGAAAGGAAUAACAGUUGGAAACGACUGCUAAUGCCCUAUAUGCCUUUAAUACAUAAGUAUGCAAGGGAAACGCUUUAGUGCUUAAGGAUGGGUCUGUAUGGUAUCAGCUUGUUGGGGAGGUAAUGGCUCACCAAGGCUAUGACGGGUAGCUGGUCUGAGAGGAUGAUCAGCCACAUUGGAACUGAGACACGGUCCAAACUCCUACGGGAGGCAGCAGUGGGGAAUUUUACACAAUGGGCGAAAGCCUGAUGUAGCAACGCCGCGUGGAGGAUGAAGGAUUUAGGUUCGUAAACUCCUUUUAUAAGGGAAGAAAUUUGACGGUACCUUAUGAAUAAGCACCGGCUAACUCCGUGCCAGCCGCCGCCGUAA
rnacentral:rRNA from 1 species